rnacentral:misc_RNA from 1 species
GAUGAAGAACGUAGCAAAAUGCGAUAAGUAAUGUGAAUUGCAGAAUUCAGUGAAUCAUCGAAUCUUUGAACGCACAUUGCGCCCGCCAGUAUUCUGGUGGGCAUGCCUGUUCGAGCGUCAUUAUAACCCCUCAAGCUCAGCUUGGUGUUGGGGCCUGCUGCACUGGCAGCCCUUAAAAUCAGUGGCGGCGCCAUCUGGCUCUAAGCGUAGUAAUUCUUCUCGCUAUGGAGUCCUGGUGGAUGCUUGCCAUCAACCCCCAAUUUUUCUAUGGUUGACCUCGGAUCAGGUAGGGAUACCCGCUGAACUUAAGCAUAUCAAUAAGCGGAGGA